AUCUCGUCCUAUUUUCUAUAUUCUGUAUCAAAAUCCAAAGGCAUCUCUUGCAGGACUGGUCAUGUAAUUUCUAAGAGUUUUAUGCUGGAGUAUAUCAAUUUUGCAUUCAUUCUUUACACAGUAGAACGGCUAACAAGUAUAGUUUUGGGUAACAGCCUUGGUGAUCUCUACUCCCUGGACUCUGAUUUCUCAGAUUUUUCCUACAGUUUCUACUUUUCAUUGGCCUUGUAUGAGCUUUUCUUGAUUUACUUCUCCAUGAUUUUUGCUUUUCUUAUUACAUUAUUUGGUGAUCUUUACUCUGGAUUAUGAAUCUCGUAUUUGAUUUAUACUUUUCAUUGGGUUACCGAAAGCUUUUUUUAUUUCAGCACGAUUUUGUGUUGAUCCACCUGUGUUCUAUUAUGGGCAUUUUACAACAGUGCUUCAAGAUUGCUGAGUCCCUAGGGAAGAUAAGAAAUGUUGUGUAUGAUUUAUCUUCUGAACAGGAGCAAUAAGGGAUGGGUAUUCACUUUUGUUUCGAGAAUCUGCAUUUGGGUUUGAAGAACUACACAACUUUUUUGAAGAACUACACAACUUUUCUUUCUUAGUUUUCUUGAUAACUUUUAUAUGGAAGG